rnacentral:rRNA from 1 species
AGUGAGCGCUGGCGGUAGGCCUAACACAUGCAAGUCGAACGGCAGCACAGGAGAGCUUGCUCUCUGGGUGGCGAGUGGCGGACGGGUGAGGAAUACAUCGGAAUCUACUCUGUCGUGGGGGAUAACGUAGGGAAACUUACGCUAAUACCGCAUACGACCUACGGGUGAAAGCAGGGGACCUUCGGGCCUUGCGCGAUUGAAUGAGCCGAUGUCGGAUUAGCUAGUUGGCGGGGUAAAGGCCCACCAAGGCGACGAUCCGUAGCUGGUCUGAGAGGAUGAUCAGCCACACUGGAACUGAGACACGGUCCAGACUCCUACGGGAGGCAGCAGUGGGGAAUAUUGGACAAUGGGCGCAAGCCUGAUCCAGCCAUACCGCGUGGGUGAAGAAGGCCUUCGGGUUGUAGAGCCCUUUUGUUGGGAAAGAAAUCCAGCUGGCUAAUACCCGGUUGGGAUGACGGUACCCAAAGAAUAAGCACCGGCUAACUUCGUGCCAGCAGCCGCUGUAA